UAUCUCUGUAGAGUCUGCAUAUCAAUAAGCGGAGGAAAAGAAACUAACUAGGAUUCCCUCAGUAACGGCGAGUGAAGCGGGAAGAGCUCAAAUUUGAAAUCUUCAAGGUUGCUACCUUGACGAAUUGUAGUUUAAAGAAGUGUUUUCUGUUGAAGUUUCGGUAAAAGUUCUUUGGAAUAGGACAUCAUAGAGGGUGAGAAUCCCGUAUUUGACCAGUUAUUUCAGCUGUGUGAUACACUUUCAAAGAGUCGGAUUGUUUGGGAAUGCAGUCCAAAAUGGGUGGUAAAUUUCAUCUAAAGCUAAAUACUGGCGAGAGACCGAUAGCGAACAAGUACCGUGAGGGAAAGAUGAAAAGAACUUUGAAAGGAGAGUUAAACAGUACGUGAAAUUGUCAAAAGGGAAGCGUUUGACACCAGUGUUGUUUUUCUGAAAAUCAAUUAAAGAACUGUUUAUGCUAAGCUGUUUAGACUUUAUCAGCUAUCUGUUUAGUUUUGAGCUUUUCUUUAAUGCACUUUUCAGUUAAUAAGUCAACAGUCAAUUUCUUUUGCUGUAAAAAAGCUUGAGGAGGGUGGCUUGAGAUUCGUCUUAAGUGUUUAUAGCCUCUUGCCUAUGCAGUCGGAGAGAUUGAGGUCUGCAGCGUAGAUCCUUCGGGGCUAAAUGCAUUUGUGCUAAGUUAUAGCAUUUUAUAGACAACUUGUUGACUAUGAUUUGUCUUGUAGCUUACUCGCUUAUGUUAUUUUACCUACGCUUAGGAUGUUGAUAUGCAUGACUGAUAU
rnacentral:rRNA from 1 species